rnacentral:tRNA from 1 species
GCGGGUGUCGUUCAAUGGCAGGACCUGAGCUUCCCAAGCUCAAGACGUGGGUUCGAUUCCCAUCACCCGCUCCA